GAUCUACAAGGCUGUUGUAGUUGGUUAUCACGUCAGUCUGACACACAGAAGGUCUCCGGUUCGAGCCCGGGUCAGAUCA